UAGAGAGUAACUCAGUGGUAGAGCAUUUGUCCAGCAUGCACAAGGCUCUGGGUUUGAUCCCCAGCACUGUAA
rfam:Ictidomys tridecemlineatus contig102858, whole genome shotgun sequence.